rnacentral:rRNA from 1 species
GAUGAACGCUGGCGGCGUGCCUAAUACAUGCAAGUCGAGCGAACAGACGAGGAGCUUGCUCCUCUGACGUUAGCGGCGGACGGGUGAGUAACACGUGGAUAACCUACCUAUAAGACUGGGAUAACUUCGGGAAACCGGAGCUAAUACCGGAUAACAUGUUGAACCGCAUGGUUCAACAGUGAAAGACGGUCUUGCUGUCACUUAUAGAUGGAUCCGCGCCGCAUUAGCUAGUUGGUAAGGUAACGGCUUACCAAGGCAACGAUGCGUAGCCGACCUGAGAGGGUGAUCGGCCACACUGGAACGGAGACACGGUCCAGACUCCUACGGGAGGCAGCAGUAGGGAAUCUUCCGCAAUGGGCGAAAGCCUGACGGAGCAACGCCGCGUGAGUGAAGAAGGUCUUCGGAUCGUAAAACUCUGUUAUUAGGGAAGAACAAAUGUGUAAGUAACUAUGCACGUCCUGACGGUACCUAAUCAGAAAGCCACGGCUAACUACGUG